CACUUCCGGUACCGCAAUGGCGGCACAGGGAGCAACAGCUGCGGUUGCUGCAACGACUUCGGGAAUUGUGGGGGAGGGCGAGUCCGGGCCCGGGGAAAAUGCAGCAGUCGAGGGGCCUGCGCGGUCCCCGGGCCGCAUCUCUCCGCCGACCCCGGCGCGUGGCGAGCCAGAAGUCACCGUGGAAAUCGGAGAAACGUACCUGUGCCGGCGGCCCGAUAGCACCUGGCAUUCAGCAGAAGUGAUCCAGUCUAGAGUGAAUGACCAGGAGGGCCGAGAAGAAUUCUAUGUACACUAUGUGGGCUUUAACAGGCGACUGGACGAAUGGGUGGACAAGAACCGACUAGCACUGACCAAGACAGUGAAGGAUGCCGUGCAAAAGAACUCUGAGAAAUACCUGAGCGAGCUGGCGGAGCAGCCUGAGCGCAAGAUCACGCGAAACCAAAAACGAAAGCACGAUGAGAUCAACCACGUGCAGAAGACCUAUGCAGAGAUGGACCCCACCACAGCAGCCUUGGAAAAGGAACAUGAGGCGAUCACCAAAGUGAAGUAUGUAGACAAGAUCCACAUUGGGAACUAUGAGAUCGAUGCCUGGUACUUCUCACCCUUCCCAGAAGACUAUGGGAAACAGCCCAAGCUUUGGCUCUGCGAGUACUGCCUCAAGUACAUGAAGUACGAGAAGAGCUACCGCUUCCACCUGGGCCAGUGUCAGUGGCGGCAGCCCCCAGGGAAGGAGAUCUACCGCAAAAGCAACAUCUCUGUGUAUGAAGUGGAUGGCAAAGACCACAAGAUAUAUUGUCAGAACCUGUGUCUGCUGGCCAAGCUUUUCCUGGACCACAAGACCUUGUAUUUUGAUGUGGAGCCCUUUGUCUUUUACAUUCUGACAGAAGUAGAUAGGCAAGGGGCCCACAUUGUCGGCUACUUUUCUAAGGAGAAGGAAUCCCCAGAUGGAAACAAUGUGGCUUGCAUCCUGACACUGCCCCCCUACCAGCGACGUGGCUAUGGAAAGUUUCUCAUUGCGUUCAGUUAUGAGCUCUCCAAGCUAGAGAGUACUGUAGGCUCUCCAGAGAAGCCACUGAGUGACCUGGGCAAACUCAGCUACCGAAGCUACUGGUCAUGGGUCUUGCUGGAGAUCCUACGAGACUUCCGGGGCACAUUGUCUAUCAAAGAUCUUAGCCAAAUGACCAGCAUCACCCAGAACGACAUCAUCAGCACCCUGCAGUCCCUCAACAUGGUCAAGUACUGGAAGGGCCAGCAUGUGAUCUGUGUCACCCCUAAGCUGGUAGAAGAACACCUCAAAAGUGCCCAGUAUAAGAAACCACCGAUCACAGUGGACUCUGUCUGCCUCAAGUGGGCACCCCCCAAGCACAAACAAGUCAAGCUUUCCAAGAAGUGAGUGGGCUCUUCCCUGCUUUGGAUCUGCGUUUCCUGUCGUUAACCUGUAAAUAUGUGUAGAGAGGCAGGACCUGAGAGACCUUCUAUCCUGACCCCUGCUGCCUUACACUACCCUAGCUCACAAUGCCCGCCAAAUACCAGAGGCCUUCUACAGGACACUGGUACUGACCCUGACCUCUCACUUUUACCUCUGACUGGUUCCUUCUUCCCUUCUCCUUCUCCUUCUUCCUCUUCUUCUUCUUCUUCUUUUUUUUUUUGAUAAAUAUUAUUUAUCCCUGGCUAACCUGGAACUCCCAGAGAUCCACCUGCCUCUGCCUCACCUCUGCCUCCUGAGUGCUGGGAUUUAAGGCUGCCAAGACUCUUGAAACCCACACAAGGAACUAGUCUGACAUAUGAUCUAGACUGACCCAUGGCAUGCUUUUUUUUUUUUUAAAUAGUGUCUAAUGUAAACAUGGUCAAGCUGGCCUUGAAUUUACUAUGUGGUAGCUGUCUGACCUUGAACUUCUGAUCCUGGUUCCAUCUCCCA